GUCACGUGACUCUUUCUUGCCCGAUACAGCAGUGCACUCGCUUGGAGCUCAAGCGGACAAGUUUACUGCAAACAUUGUUUACACGGAUUUCAGCUCGUUAUUGUUAACAGAGAGCGUUUGUCUUCGUCCGUGAACAGAGCUCACUGACGGCUGAUUGACCGCUGUGUGUCAGACGGGAUGGUUUGCUUUGAGAGCUGGUAGAUCACAGGAUUUGUAUUUCCUCCUGGUGUGCUGGUGAACCUCGACACAAUGAAGUCAGAUAUACCAUACGAAAAGGUGGUUGAUGUGAAGCUAAGCAGAGGAGAAACUCAUCUUGGCUCACAAAAGCAUUACAGGUGUCUGAUCAUCCUCACCUGUUUAACCACAAUACUGCUGAUCCUCCUGUCACUCCAAACCCUGCUUGUUCCCAUGGCAACAUCCUCCUCCUCCUCCUCAUCGGGACAGCAGGAGCAUCUUCUAGUCAGAGAAUCUUGUACUGAUCCCUGCAGGAUUGUUUUAGUGGAGAGUAUUCCUGAGGGACUGGUGUUUAACUCCUCGACCACUCAUCAGUCCAUAUAUGAAGCCUGGCUCAACCUUAUAUCUGGUGCUCAGACCAGUCUGGACAUCGCCUCCUUCUACUGGACUCUCACCAAUGAAGACACGCAAACACACGAGGCCACAGCCAAUCAGGGUGAGCAGGUUCUGCAGGAGCUAGGGCAGCUCUCGGGGAGAGUCUCUGUCCGAAUUGCAAUCGAUAAACCAUCAGAGAAAAAACCUAUGGAUGACAUUGAGUUCCUGACUGAUUCUGGAGCUGAUGUGCGGAUGGUGAAUAUGCGAGAGCUGACGACAGGUGUGCUGCACACUAAAUUCUGGAUCGUGGAUAAGAAGCACAUCUACAUAGGAAGUGCCAAUAUGGACUGGAGGUCACUAACACAGGUGAAGGAGUUGGGUGCGGUUGUGUAUGACUGCAGCUGUCUUGCUGAGGAUCUUGGCAAGAUCUUCGAGGCUUAUUGGUACCUGAAUCAGACCACGACCGUUCCUGCACACUGGCCCAAAAAUUACUCCACAGUGUACAAUAAGGACACACCCAUGCAGCUGUCACUCAAUGGGACCGAUGCCAGCGUCUAUCUAUCAAGCUCUCCUCCUUCACUGUGCGCCGAGGGCCGGACUCCAGACCUGCAGUCUAUCCUCAGCGUGAUCGCUGAUGCCCAGCAGUUCGUCUACAUCGCUGUGAUGGACUAUCUCCCCACUAUGGAGUACUCCAGCCACAAAAGGUACUGGACAGAUAUCGACAGCCAGCUGCGGAGCGUGGCUUAUGAGCGUAAUGUUCGUGUGCGUCUGCUGAUCAGUUGUUGGGAAAAUACCAACCCCAUCAUGUUCCCUUUCCUCCGUUCACUAGCAUCCUUACAGUACAAGAGCACACUGGAUAUUCAAGUGAGAAUUUUUACUGUGCCUGCCAACCCUCGACAGAAACUCAUUCCCUAUGCCAGAGUCAACCACAACAAGUACAUGGUCACCGAUAAAGUUGCUUACAUAGGCACGUCUAACUGGUCCGGAGACUACUUUGUGAACACCGCUGGAUCUGCGUUAGUGGUGAACCAGACAACAAGCCCCACAGUCCAGGAGCAGCUGCAGGCAGUGUUCGAGAGAGACUGGGACUCUCCGUACAGCACUGACAUCAACCACAGAACCAACCGCAAAGACAUGUGCUAGACUUUCAUGCCGGAGAGAGCACAACACUGUUAAAAGGCAUUUGCUGGGGAAUGUCCGGAAAAUACGGUACUCUAAAGUACCAGCUUCCCUGGCCGUCUUUACAUGAGCUACUUUUGCACUCAGUAAUAAUGAUGAUGUCACUCUCAUCUCUGACCAAUUGCAUAUAUUUUGCACAAAAUGUCUUUUAAAUGACAAUGCAAUGCAAUACCUCUUAACAGAAAUACUUUCCUGUUGAUUCUUUCUAACAUAGUUUUUCAGGAGAAUUGAUUCAGUGUCUUGUUCAUAGCUGCUUCCUCUUUUUAAAGUGGUUUCAAAGGCUGCAUUUAAAAAUCAUCUCAACAGUAUUCAUGUUUUAAAAAAUCUGAUCCGACUCGCCGAAGCAGCGGGUUUUAAUAACCAGUCUAUUGCGAUGAACGUCUCCGAAGGCAUUUGUGCAUGUUUGAACUCAUUUGUUGUGGUGUCACCGCUAUUGGCCAGCAGCUCUUGAAUGUUUUAAUUCACUCACUUUACUUCAAGACUUGCAAGGUGAGAAAUUGUGAAGUACGUUUUUUUAUUAUGUCUAUUAAUCUGGAAGUGAAAAUGUCUUGGUAUUCGUGUAAAAGAGUCAUUGCCAGACAUAUUCAUCAUUAUAAAGAGGAACAGUGAGUAGUGAUGGGGAAUGUGUAAGUUGGUUUUAAACUUUUUUUUUUUUUUUAAAUACGCACACUCCAUUGGCUGUGAACUUUAAAGCAUUUUCAAGGAAGUUUUCUUUUCAAAUUAAGUUCAUUUUACAUUUGACAUCUCUUUGUUUAGGGAGCUGCUUUUUUAAUGAAAGUGUAAACUGUUACAAGCACUUGGUCAACUUUUUCUAGUCAUCUCUUAAGUCAUUUUACAUUAAUGGCUGUUGAUUAGUAGUGCAACAUUUUUGUCAUAGCAUAGAGUUAGCAUGUGAUUCUGAAAAUAAUUAUGGAUUCUCCUGGUCUUCCGGCAAACAAUGCAUGUAUAAAGGCACAUGUUAUUUCAGAUGGUUUAGGAGGGACAUGUUUAACACAUGCCAUGAAAACCACUCAAGUACACCCUUUCACCACACUCACUCUUUCAUUAAUUACUUUUCUCUAAGUUUGAUAACAUUUCUCAGUUGCAAUGUAAAAUGUCAUGUCAUGUUCAUUCUUCUGUUUGAUUUAUUCUAUUCAUAUCACAUAAACUUACAUUUAGUCAUUUAUCAAACGCUUUUAUCCAAAGCAACUUACAAGUGAGGACAAUGGAAGCAAUCAGAUUCAACAAAAGAGCCAUAAUAAGCAAGUGUUAUGAUUUUUUGUUAAUUAUAUAAUAGAUA